AAGAGAGAGCCUAAUUCAAAGACCCCGAAUUAUUCAUUGGGUUCGAAACUAAUUCAAGGACCCGCCUGACUGCAUUUUCUGAGGCUAAGAUGGUUGCAAUGGAAGAAAAAUGAAUCUUUAGGGUUUGAUUGGAUAUUUUAAAAUGAGCAGAAUAGAAUAGAAAAAAAGUAGAGUGGAGUAGAAAGAAUGAAGUAAAAUAUCUAUUCCAUUGUUUGGUUAUUUGAUGACGGAAUGAAAGUAGGAUUCUAUGCCAUACAUUGAAAUUAGAGGAGAAGAAAAUAAAGGAAAAAUAUGGAAUGAGAUGGAAUAGAUUUCAUUAUAUUCCACUCCAUUCUACCCAUAUUUCAAAUAUCCAAUCAAUCAAACCUUAUUAAUUACCACUUCAUUAUAUUCUAUCAAUGCAAACAAAGCCUUGAUGAAGCAAAAGGGCUAUGAAACGGAUUAGAAAGAUUAAAUUUUUAGAAGGAAAGAAAGAUGACAAAGAAAUGUGAAUACCCAUCAUCAAGUGUUGACCAUGAAAGAAGAUGGGUUUGUGAAAACAACAGAGCAGGAUUUAAGGUGGUGCUGAGGAGAAAACAGAUAAAAGAGAAAGCAUGAAAAGCAGAAGUUACAAGUAGAAGCUGUUGAAACCCUUAAAUCAAUUGCAGUUCUAAUGCCGGCAACUUUUUAUCAAAAGUAUUACGAUACAGCAGAAAAAGCACUUAAACUCAUUUUAUUUGAUAAAGGUAGUUCCCCCAAAUUGUUUCUCCGUGCCAAAUGUCUAGAAUGCAUGGGUAUUCUUGUUAGGAAAGUUGGGCAAGAUGUACUCAAAAAUUGGGAAGUUAUUAAGUUCAUGAAGACUAUAGUAUCAGUUGAAGGAGAAUUGAACAAUACAGACCACUUAACAAGAUGUGUCAUCUUAAAGGCACUAGAUCAAUUCUGUCGAUGCUCAAGAGUGAAUAUUGACAAAAUUAUCAACCAAACUACGCCGAUGUUGCUUAGAUGUGCUCAGCUUGAUGUCAACUUAACAACCAGUAUGCCCAAGGAUGUGAGCCUAGAUGAUGAUAAGCAUUUGGUUGAGAGCGUGAGAGUUCAGGCUUGUAAUAUACUGUCAUGCUGUGCUGUUCGGUCAGCUCAAAUUUUUUCCCCCUACAUUUCCAUGGUCACUGACAUGUUUUUGAGCUUGCUUGGUUGCACUAGUUUCGAAACUCGCAAGGCUUCUAUUUCAGCUCUUCCAAACCUACUCCUCUCAAUUGACGUAGGUGUAGAAGAUAUAAACAAUAAAAGAGAUAUAGCAAAUUUCAUUGUGCUAUCUAUGAUUGAAGCUCUACAUAAGGAAACUGAUAGUGAUUUGUCUAAAAGAAUGUUGAGGUUACUCCCCAAAUGUAUUCAGAUCUCUGGUUCAUAUUUCAAUAGUCAUGUAAUCGAAAUUAUUGCCAACGUGAUAAGCGGAACACUAAAAAAGAUCAUUGGAAAUGAAAUAGAGAGGGAAAAAGAAGCUGAAACUUUGGAAGGGGGAAGUGGUACUUUACUAACUGAUGAAACAAUUAAGGAUACAAAUUUCUUGAUAGGAACAUCAGUUGAAACAUUUAAAAUCCGAUUUGUGACACAUAUUGAUGUCCUCAUGAGAAAUGUUGCAGGGUUUUUGGGGAAAGACAGGCCAGAUAGAGUGAUUGCUUUUGCCAUUUCCAUUUUUAACAUCUUGGUGCCACAAUUCCCAGACAAAUUGCCACCAUAUCUUAACAAAUAUAUUGUAACCGCCUGUGAUGCUUUAAGGGAAAAUUAUCCUCAUGCUCAGCUGCAUGCUACACGGGCGAUUGGUAUCUGUGCUAACUUUGGUCAAAACGAUCAACUCAAAACUAUUGUUGGUGUGUGUGUUUCCAGACUAUACGAUGUGAUGACAAAAAUAUAUAAAGUUAGUAGGGAAUCAGGAGAUGUAGAAAUCUCUAUAGCAACAACAUUUGAUACGGCAGUUGCAGCUCUUGGGAAAAUUUGUGAAUUUCAACGUGACAUUAUCGAUGGCCCUGUGUAUAUUGGUUAGAUGGACCCUAAAAUCUUACUGUCAAGAGCAGCUAUUAUUGGUAUUUUAUUGGAAGAUCAAAAGAUAGGAGCGGAAAUAAAGUGGAAAGAUUGCAGAUGGAACAAAGACCAAGUGCCAGAUAAAGAAUAUAGUCAGAAUUAUUGAAAAAUUAAGUAAAAAAUAAAUGAAAAAUGCUUGGACCUGCAUCCGAAGCAGGACUACAGAACCAGGACAUUGGUUCCGUAAGUUCCCUUAUGUUUCAAAUUACGUGUAAUAUAUAAAUUAAUAUCUCUGCAAGUUUUAGAAUGAAGUAUGUUACAUCUAAUUCCUCAUAAGAAUCUGUAAUUUGAUUAAUUGCUAAAUUUCUCAAGCAUCUACUACAUUUCAAUUCAUUGCACUUAUGUCUGCUCACAGCUAUUGCUCUAUAUAAACAAAACAGUAGUUUUGCAGAAAUUUAUUAUCUUGGACAGAAUAGAAUCAUCACGAGUUACAGUGAUUAAUAAUUCCUACUGUAGAUGUUGAUCUGUAAUGUUUGCUGCUUUGCACCUUCUUUGAGUAUUCGUUAUUUUAUUCUCAAUCAUGAUGCCGUUAAGCAGGUGGUUCAAAACUGGUUAUUCUUCUUGCCAUGUAAGUGUGAUUUCGAAGAAGCAAAAUAUGCACAUGGGCUGCUUUCUAAAAUGAUACAAAGGUCAGAUAAGGACCUAUUUGGAGACGAUAACAAGAAUCUUCCCACUAUUAAUUCCGUCGUAAAAGAAAUUUUAUCUCACACUGACCGUCUGGCAACUCAAGAAGUUAUUGAUCAGAUGAUUAACUUCAUUAGUUAACAUGGUGAGAUUGACUCCUAGUCCCUGUAGAAAUAUUUGUAAGUUGGAGAUGUGGAAAUACUUCUUGUUUUUUCAUUGAAUUGUACAAUAGACAAUAAGCCAGGAAGAUUUCAAUUUACAAUCUUCCAAACGUGUAAAGACACAAUAACCUUCACACAUGACACAUAAAUAAUACAAAUGUAGAUAGUCUUUCUACUCUGUUUCCUUCGCCUCUUUGUAACAAAUUACAGAAUCUUAAUUUUUGAUAUAGGGAUUUCUUUUGAAGGAGUGCUCUACCAACACCAUAUUAUUUUAA